UUCCCCAUGGCCCUCUCCCCUUUUUCCCUUCCCCCGUUGCUUUCCCUCUCCCCUCCAUUUUUUAGCGAAGGCAGUUCAUCGCUGACCAAAGAUACAGCAAGCGAUGCAAACGAAGGUGGACGAGGUGCAGAACGGGCGGUGGUGGCAGCAGCAACAUCUUCACAGGGAGAGAGAAAAAAAGUGACCAAAACCUUGGAGGGUCGUUCCAGUCAUUUCCGACGCUGGACAGGGGUUAGUCCGGCAGUGACUAGCUCCUUUCGACUCCAGCUCUCUUUUGCGACCCACGAAGUCCUGUUUCAUGGCAAUUUCCGGUGAGGAUGAGAGAGAGA
rnacentral:misc_RNA from 1 species